GCUCUCUCCGGUCCCCAGUGCAUGGGCUGGAGUGUGGCCCCUGGCAGAGCCCUGGAGGCCGGCUCUGCUUCCUGCCCCCUUCCAGCCUGGAGCAGCCCGAGGGCGCAGCAUUCCUGGGGCAGGCCUGAGCCCUGUGGUGGGCUGAGUUGAGUCCCCAGAAAGGAUCUAUGAAAGAUAAAAUGUGGUGUGAGGACACGGCCCAGCCCCACCGUCGUCUUCCAGCCCCACCAUCGUCUUCCAGCCCCACCGUCGUCUUCCAGUCCCACCGUCGUCUUCUAGCCCCACCAUCGUCGUCUUGGACUCUCUGGGUGGCACCACGCUGUGGGUGCUGCUCUCCUCUGUGUCCCAAACGAGUUUGUGCCUCACUUUGUCGGGUUUUGGCUGUGACUUGGAGCCUCACCAAGCUCCCUUUUCCUCUGUCUCCCAUUCUCCUCUCCAGGCCAGGGUGGCUUCCCCAGCCCUCCUCCCCGGGUCCUGCCUGUGCCGAGCCUUCCUCCCAGGAGGGAGGUGAUACUGACUUGAGAUCUUAUGGGUGUUUUGUUUGUGGCUGGGCCUGGCCGACCCUCUCUCCACGGCCUUAGAUCACACUCUGGAUGGAUAGGACAGUCGUCCUCAAUACUGAGCCUCUUUGGAGCAUACCCACUGAUGGUGGUUCACAAGCUACCCACGCCCACAGGCUGACCCAGAUCUCCGUGAAAUUAAAAAAUACUGUGAAAGGAAAAAGAGCCAAUGUCAUGUGGAUAAUGAAGUGUCAGCCACUGAAAAAUCUCAAAAUAA
rnacentral:lncRNA from 10 species